rnacentral:lncRNA from 1 species
GUCAGUGGGUAUCCCGGGGAGGGAUAAGUCUUUUGGAUAAAAACGGGAAUGUUGGAUAAUAUACUCAUCCUAUCACCUUUAAAGUCCCUCCGUGUUGUUUGGUUACCUGGGAGGUAACAUGGUAUUAGUUAGUAGCGCUACUUAGGUUUGGCAACCUCACCCCGUAUCUGAGAGGACGGGUGUUGAACUAAUGACCUAGUCAUGACCAAUGCUUUGAUAGGAGCAUUGGAGAAAGGGCAAAAUAAUCAGAAGCCGUCUUGUAUUCGGGGUCCUUAGAUGUCUUGGAUUUGGAACUUGCUGUCUGGAGUAGCUGGAGUGGUUAUGGGUCGACUGGAGGGAUUCAUGUGAUUGACUUGUUGAUUUUAUAUAUUGGUUUUGAAACAGUUUAACUUUGGUUUACUAUUUGCUUCCGCUGAACAUAUUGGUUUUCAUUUAAACUCGUGAAUGGUAUUUUCAUUAAUAAUUAAGGAUUUUAUUUUGAAACUUAUAUGGGUUCAAUGUAAUUAGUGGCUCGUUGUUGGUACGUCACUCGCCUAGCAGGGACAUUCCCUAGGUGGUAUUUUGGGGGUGUGACACACUCAACGACCUCAACGUGCUGUACCAAUCGACGAUCUUUAGCGAUGUCGUUAAUGGAAUCGGACCGGACACCCAUUUUACAGUAUCAGGGGUUGAGUAUAGACGCGGGUAUUAUCUUGCUGACGGAAUAUAUCCGUCUUGGUCUACAAUUGUCAAGACUAUUUCAUAUCAU